rnacentral:rRNA from 1 species
UGGGGAAUUUUGGACAAUGGGCGAAAGCCUGAUCCAGCAAUGCCGCGUGUGUGAAGAAGGCCUUCGGGUUGUAAAGCACUUUUGUCCGGAAAGAAAUCCUCUGGGUUAAUACCUCGGGGGGAUGACGGUACCGGAAGAAUAAGCACCGGCUAACUACGUGCCAGCAGCCGCGGUAAUACGUAGGGUGCAAGCGUUAAUCGGAAUUACUGGGCGUAAAGCGUGCGCAGGCGGUUUUGUAAGACGGAUGUGAAAUCCCCGGGCUUAACCUGGGAACUGCAUUCGUGACUGCAAGGCUAGAGUAUGGCAGAGGGGGGUAGAAUUCCACGUGUAGCAGUGAAAUGCGUAGAGAUGUGGAGGAAUACCGAUGGCGAAGGCAGCCCUCUGGGCCAAUACUGACGCUCAUGCACGAAAGCGUGGGGAGCAAACAGGAUUAGAUACCCUGGUAGUCCACGCCCUAAACGAUGUCAACUAGUUGUUGGGGAUUCAUUUCCUUAGUAACGUAGCUAACGCGUGAAGUUGACCGCCUGGGGAGUACGGUCGCAAGAUUAAAACUUAAAUGAAUUGACGGGGUCAUAGCUGUUUCC